ACUUAUUUAAGGAACAUAUGUAAUUGUUUUGGGUUACAAAUUAUAAACAACUUCAAGUCUUAAUUAAUUCACAAGUUUCUAUCUAUUUAUAUCUGUCUACCUUCAAGAUUUUUUAGGAAAAUGAUAUUUUAAUAGUCCCAAGAGACCAAUCUUUGACCCAAAAGCGUCGAUAUGAAAGAUAAGUGCGUCAGAAAGGCAAUUAGUGUUUCAGAAAGAUUAGAUUUCAUAUUUCAUGGGAAAAAU
rnacentral:lncRNA from 1 species